rnacentral:SRP_RNA from 1 species
UCCGGGUCCCGGAGGGCAACAGCCCGCCAACUCCGCCAGGACCCCGAAGGUAGCAACGGUACGUGGUGUCUGAGGUCGCUUCGUCAGACCCGGAGCA